UUUGAGUAAAUUGAAUAAAUU
rnacentral:piRNA from 1 species